UUCCGGUUGAUCCUGCCGGACCUGACUGCUAUCGGAUUGAUACUAAGCCAUGCGAGUCUUUGUAGUAAUACAAGGCAUACGGCUCAGUAACGCGUAGUCAACCUACCCUAUGGACAAGAAUAAUCUCGGGAAACUGAGCAUAAUUCUUGAUAGAUCAUAAUGCCUGGAAUGGUUUAUGGUUAAAAUGAUUCGUCGCCAUAGGAUGGGACUGCGGCCUAUCAGCUUGUUGGUGAGGUAAUGGCCCACCAAGGCGAUUACAGGUACGGGCUCUGAGAGGAGAAGCCCGGAGAUGGGUACUGAGACAAGGACCCAGGCCCUAUGGGGCGCAGCAGGCGAGAAAACUUUGCAAUGUGCGAAAGCACGACAAGGUUAGUCCGAGUGAUUUCUGCUAAAGAGAUCUUUUGCUAGUUAUAAAACCACUAGUGAAUAAGGGGUGGGCAAGUUCUGGUGUCAGCCGCCGCGGUAAAACCAGCACCUCAAGUGGUCAGGAUGAUUAUUGGGCCUAAAGCAUCCGUAGCCGGCUCUGUAAGUUUUCGGUUAAAUCUAUGCGCUCAACGUAUGGGCUGCCGAAAAUACUGUAGAGAUAGGGAGUGGGAGAGGUAGACGGUACUCGGUAGGAAGGGGUAAAAUCCUUUGAUCUAUCGAUGACCACCUGUGGCGAAGGCGGUCUACCAGAACACGUUCGACGGUGAGGGAUGAAAGCUGGGGGAGCAAACCGGAUUAGAUACCCGGGUAGUCCCAGCUGUAAACGAUGCAGACUCGAUGAUGCAUUGGCAUAUAGCCAGUGCAGUGUCGCAGGGAAGCCGUUAAGUCUGCCGCCUGGGAAGUACGUACGCAAGUAUGAAACUUAAAGGAAUUGGCGGGGGAGCACCACAAGGGGUGAAGCCUGCGGUUCAAUUGGAUUCAACGCCGGG
rnacentral:rRNA from 2 species